rnacentral:rRNA from 1 species
AGCGAUCUGGAAUGUAAAACCAAGUAUAACAAAGGGGCUACUAGGGAUGACUAGGCAAUGGAUCGGAAUGAGGUCAAAUCCAAACUGUCGAAUCCUAACAGGGUAUGUUAACAACCCGGUCUCGACGAUCAAGGCCAAAAGGUGUCCCGCCUACCCUGGGAACUGAAACAUCUUACGUACCAGGAGGAAAGGAAAUCAACCGAGACUCUACAAGUAGUGGCGAGCGAACGUAGACAAGCUAUCUCUGCCCCCAAGGGACAGGCCCUCGGCUUGGACCUUGGGGACUCAGGUCAGUACCCGAGGUGCAGAUGGGGACGCUAGCCCGACCUGCCAAGACCCUACUCCUUUAGGCAAGCCCUAGCCCCGUCGGGGGCCGAGAGGUCGUAUGGACCGAGGUUUGCAAAGGUAGUGUGCGGUCUAGCAAAGGCAUAACAAUGGCUUGGAAUAGCUAGCCACAGAUGGUGAUAGCCCAGUGAUGGCAUGGCUUUGCUCAGCUUGAAAAAUAGGGAAUAGGUGGCCGGAUCUACCCCAAAGGGCCAUCGGCCCUAGGGGGGUUUGGCCAGUGGCCUAUGGUAAACUACCCCUUUUCUGUACCUCGAAGGUAGGUGCCCGGGAGAAUUGGCGGCUUGCCAAGCUGCUUUUAUACUACCCUGCCUGUUAAGGCAGGAAUGGUGUACCAUCAUCAAGGCUAAGUAUGCUCCAUUGACCGAUAGUGCAGAGUACCGUGAGGGAAUGUUGAAAAAGCAGGUAGUAAACUGGUGAAAAGCCUGAACUAGUGGCUCCACAAGCAGCUGGAAUCUUAGCAGUCAUUGGCUCCGGCUCAUGGCUCAAUGUGGGAUGACAGCGUACCUUUUGUAUAAUGGGUGAAUUGCUUGCCCAUGAGGAUUGUGAAAUCCUUUGAAAAACUGACUCAUGACCAGGGAUGGUCGGUAUUAUGAUAAACAGAUAUGAAAAUAUCUGAAUAUUUGCAGCAAGAUGAUGGUGGGUGCAUGGUAAUAGCCCUAGCUAAAGCGACCCCGGUUUAGCCCCAACCUGUCGGACCAACUCCCCCGGUCUUGGCUGCCAGCCCAAGGUCUAGGAUAGCCCCCCUAGGUCCAACCCGAGGGCCUGGCCCUUGGCGGACCGGGGUUUCCAAGCCAAAGGGUCGGGGCCACGAAGCGGGGGGUGGGAUCUGGCAGAGGGCUCCGGCCGGUGAUAGUACCGACCAUCAGACCCGAACCCAGGUGAUCUUGCCAUGGCCAAGUGUUAUUUCAUAAGACUGAACGGGUGUUCUGGACGCCCAGUUGAGGGGUGACCCUCAAUGACUCCAGUACGAAAGUAUUGGGCAAUAGGUCCGUUGCAAGGGACUCCGAUGAGCUGUGGCAAGGGGUGAAAGGCCAAUCUAACCUGGAGAUAGCUGGUCUUCCGCGAAACCCGUUUUAGCGGGUCGCCCAUCAUUGUGAUCUAACCCUAGAGGACCCGAGCCGUAGAAGCCCCGUACGAACCGAAGGUGACCGGGGGGACAGCCUUGGGUGUGCAGGUUUCAGCCCUCGGCAAGCCCCCCUAGGUCCAACCCGAGGGCCUGGGCGGACCGGGGUUCGUUACUAGACGGUACGGCACUGGAAGCCACGCAGCUUCGCUGCAUAAUCGGGGGGCUGUCAUGGCUCUAUCGAUGGCUUCUAACCCCGGAAAUGUAUAGUAUACAAUGGUGGGCAAUCAGACGUAUCGUGAUAAGGCGAUUCGUCAAAAGGGCAACAGCCCAGAACAGGUGUUAAGGUCCCUAAGAACUACUGAGUGAACACAAGGCAGUCCUCUCCAGUGUUUCUCCACAAAGUGGGCUUGGCUUUCAGGCCUAUCCUUUCAUAAGGAUAAAAACAUGGUUGAAAGAUCAUGAUAUAAUAUUGUGGAAGCAGCCACCUUUUAGUGAAAGCGUAACAGCUCAGUGGUCUGAGCUUCCCUACCAGGCCCCAGUCCACGUAGGCCGAGCCUGCUUGGCCCUAGGGGACUUACUCUUCUAGUGGGAGCACCUUCGUAGGGAGGCCUUUCAGGGCGCCAAGAAUGUAACGGGUCUAUAGUAGUUGUCUCCUUGGAACUCUCGAACGGGAAUCUUUUGUUCAAACCAAGGGGUGGCAGCCGGCACAGGUGCAGAGCUCCUCCGCCUGAAUUUCCUCACCGAAACCCUGUCCUAGGUGCCAAAUUCUAGGGGUAGCGGAAUACCCAGCAAAUGGAAUGAAGCUUGCUCAUCGAGCCGGUGGACAUAGCUGGGCUGAGAAUGCUGACAUGAGUAGCCUCAAAAGAGGGGUAUUCCCUCUUCGCCGGAAGCAGAAGGGUUUCAUAUGUUAGGUCCAUACCAGCAUGAGUAAAGCAGCGGCCUCUAAGGCAGCUUAGAAGGGAGGCCUUCUCGAAGGAGUCCUAGGGACCAAAAGCUCUUGGACUUACACCUGUCGAUGAGUAACUCUUCUGUAGGGCAGUAACCUUCCUUAAAAGUAUACCUUGCCAUAACGCACCCUGGUCAUUAAUUAUCCCUGCUCCAACGAAUCUCUCGCACACAAGCGAGUUGUGCUGAAGCCCUAGCCCCUAGGACCGCCCCGGUCCGGGACAGGCCCUCGGCUUGGACCUUGGGGACUUGAAGGACCGGGGUGCAAAGUACCAGGUAAUCAGAGGUAUACUUCAUGGGAGAAAGGUUCGGGAAAGAGCCCUACGGAAACCAGCCCCCCCUAGGUCCAAGGGCCUGGGCGGACCGGGGCUGGAAAAGUACAACCAACCGUACCCUAAACCGACACUGGUCUGCUGGUAGAGCAUACUAAGGCGUAGAGGUAAUCGUCUUGAAGGAACUCGGCAAGAUGACCCCGUAACCUAGGAAGAAGGGGUGCCACUUGUUAGGUGGCGGCACUAAACAGGGGGGCGCGACUGUUUACUUAAAACACCGGACUCUGCUAACACUAACGUGGAUGUAUAGAGUCUGAUACCUGCCCGAUGCUAGAUAAUCAACUAAGCCGUUCUAGGAUGGCAAGGGAAGCUCUAGUCAAUGGCGGCUGUAACCUUGACGGUCUGGCUAUAUAGGGCCGUCUUAAAUCCCUUACGAAAGUAGAGGGUAUUAAGCCUAAGGUAGCGAAAUUUCUUGGCAUUUAAAUGAUGUCCCGCAUGAAAGGUUUAACGAAGCUCCCACUGUCUCCAAGACGAGCUCGGCGAAAUUGAAUUAUCCGUGAAGAUGCGGAUUACCCCCAGCUAGACGAGAAGACCCUUUGAAGCUUGACUGCAGCUAGCUAGUGUGUAACCGCUACUCGGUUGCAAAGGGAGUCGACUAGACAAGAUACCUUGACCUUUGUAGUAGGUUUCACUGUAAAUGCUGGCUAGUAGGCAGUUUGUCUGGGGCGGCAAUCCUCACCUAAAGUAACUGAGGAGUCCGAAGGUGUGCUUUGCUAGGUUGGAAACCUCUCUAUGGCCAUGGAGAGCCUAAGUAAGCGCAAUGGUACAAGCAUGCUUGACUGUGAGACCUACAAGUCUAUCAGGAACAACCCAUUCUACCUACCCCUCCCCCUCGGGCAGCCCCUCCAACCCGAGGUGGACCUGGGCCGGGGCGGAGAUGCCACCCGGUGGCCAGGGCUGAACUGCUCUUGUUCUCUACACUGUACUAUUGCUAAGAAUCUAUAGUUACUGGUGAAACCGCUUAUUUUAGACCCCGGCCCAUGACCCGUAGGUCAUUGGUCCUAGGGGCAGGGUAAGUAUGACAAGUAUAGUAAUUAUCUUCUCUCUGCUGAAAUAACUAAGCAAGCGGCUAUACGGUUGCCUUCUCGGCUCCGGAGAUUCCCCCCAAGUCCAAGACGUUGGCGGACCGGGGCAGGGAAGCCUUGCCGGUCGGUAGUAAGCAGGUAGAGUAAACAUAGGGUAGCUAGGUGCAAUGGGUUUAGGUAACUAGGGCAUAGUGACCCGGUGAUACAUUAUGGAAUGCUCAUCGAUCAACGGAUAAAAGCUACUUCUUAAUCCCUAAGAGUGGCUCCUGCAAGAUACUGGAAAAUGCAGGUCCUCUCAAUAGAAAUAUUGAGUGAGUCCCAAUGACUCACUAAGAUGUGUCCAAUCAUUCUGUUUGCAUAAUUGGGAAACAUUCAUUUAGAGUAGCUUAAAAAAUUCCCUCAAGCACAGAAUGUUACAAGUCUUAGAAGAUACUAGACUCAAGGGAUAACAGGCUGAUCCUCCACGAGAGUCCAUAUUGACUGGGGGGGUUGGCACCUCGAUGUCGGCUCAUCCUAUCCUAGAGCAGUAUAAGGUUCUAAGGGUUCGGCUGUUCGCCGAGUAAAAGGGUACGUGAGCUGGGUUAAGUACGACGCGAGUCAGUACGGCUUCUAUCUACUGGGGGGAGUUGGAAGUAAGGAGGAAGCUAUUUUUAGUACGCGAGGACUUAAAUGGAGCGACCUCUGGUUUACCAGUUAUCAGCGGCCAAUAAAGCUAUGGUAUGGCUGGGAAGCUACGUCGCGAAUAGAUAACUGCUGAAGCCAUAUCAAGCAGGAAACUACUCCUCUAUACUUCCUUAUAAACUUAGGGUAGACCACCCUAUUGAUAGGGCCUGGGUGCAAUAGCAGUAAUGCUUUCAGCCUCGGGCUACUAAUGGUUAAGCAACUUGGUUUUACCAGAUCGUU